CAGUUCUAGGAGUUCGUCCAUUCCAGCUCUCCAAAACUUUAGUUCUGUGGAUGAACCUCAUCCGAUCUUUGUACCAGACAGCAUCCCCAGCUCUCUGACUUCGAAGAAACUCUCACUGAUUAGGAUUCAGUACGGAGUUCCUCUAGAGUACGAGUUGGAGAUUCCUGGGCCGAUUGGCCGGGCUAGCGCUCCUCCGCCCGGCUGCUUCUCUUUAUACCAAGA
rnacentral:lncRNA from 1 species